GGAUGGCCGAUUUAAGGUAUUAGAUUGUAAAUCUAACCAUGGGGAAUCCCUCUUACUAUAUA
rnacentral:tRNA from 1 species